GAUGAACGCUAGCUACAGGCUUAACACAUGCAAGUCGAGGGGUAACGAGAGGAAAGCUUGCUUUCCUUGUCGACGACCGGCGCACGGGUGAGUAACGCGUAUCCAACCUGCCCCCAACUAAGGAAUAACCUUGCGAAAGUAAGACUAAUACCUUAUAAUUUCCUCAGAUGUCAUCUGACGAGGAAUAAAGAUUUAUCGGUUGUGGAUGGGGAUGCGUCUGAUUAGCUUGUUGGCGGGGUAACGGCCCACCAAGGCAACGAUCAGUAGGGGUUCUGAGAGGAAGGUCCCCCACAAUGGAACUGAGACACGGUCCAAACUGCGACGGGAGGCAGCAGUGAGGAAUAUUGGCCAAUGGGCGAAAGCCUGAACCAGCCAAGUAGCGUGCAGGAUGACGGCCCUAUGGGUUGUAAACUGCUUUUAUACAGGAAUAAAGUUAGCCACGUGUGGUUAUUUGUAGGUACUGUAUGAAUAAGGACCGGCUAAUUCCGUGCCAGCCGCCGCAGUAA
rnacentral:rRNA from 1 species